AUGACUCUUGGCAACAGAUAUCUCGGCUCUCGCAUCGAUGAAGAACGUAGUAAAAUGCGAUACCUGGUGUGAAUUGUAGAAUCCUGCGAACCAUCGAGUCUUUGAAUGCAAGUUGCGCCCGAGGCCACCUGACCGAGGGCAUGCCUGCCUUGGCGUCACAU
rnacentral:rRNA from 1 species